GACGAACGCUGGCGGCGUGCUUAACACAUGCAAGUCGAACGGAAAGGCCCUGCGUUUGUGGGGUGCUCGAGUGGCGAACGGGGGAGUAACACGUGAGUAACCUGCCCUUGACUUUGGGAUAACUUCAGGAAACUGGGGCUAAUACCGGAUAGGAGCUCCUGCUGCAUGUUGGGGGUUGGAAAGUUUCGGCGGUUGGGGAUGGACUCGCGGCUUAUCAGCUUGUUGGUGGGGUAGUGGCGUACCAAGGCUUUGACGGGUAGCCGGCCUGAGAGGGUGAACGGCCACAUUGGGACUGAGAUACGGACCAGACUCCAACGGGACGCAGUAGUCGAGAAUAUUGCAGAAUAAGCGGAAGCCUGAUGCAGAGGCGUCGCGAGCGGGAUGACGUGUUUCGGGGUGUGAACAGAUUUGGCAUGAGACGAAGAGUGAGUGACGGUAAUGGGUAAAGAAGCAACGGCUAACUACGUG
rnacentral:rRNA from 1 species